GGCCCCGUAGCUCAGCUGGAUAGAGCAAGUGCCUUCUAAGCACUAGGUCGCUGGUUCGAGCCCAGCCGGGGUCGCCA
rnacentral:tRNA from 1 species